rnacentral:misc_RNA from 1 species
CCGUAGCACGGUAACAUGAGUGGCGACCCUCUAGCCCUUGUCGUGUACGCGGGCCAGAUGGCCACGUACGUGUGCGAAGGUGGCGACGUGCAGCCGACAUACCCCAUUCUAAAUUCAAUCACAGAGGAGGUGCUGCGGUUGUUGAGACAGGAGCAAUGCCAAACAACAGCGCCGGAUCAAUCUGCACCCGCCUCCGCGUCAUCUGCGAUGCACACAUCAGGAGAUCGCACGUGGCUUCUGAAGCAGCAAGCACAGGAGCUUCGCUACCACUUCCUUCCUCUUUUGCUAGGCCGAUUUGUGCUGCUUGUGGUGCCGCUGAGCAGCACUGCCUCGUACCGCGAAGAGUGGACGCGGCUCUGCUUCGAUAGCCAUGUUCGUGCUCGGCGAUUGGUCAUGCUGACAGACACAGUAGCCAGCGCCUUCGCCUGCGGCAUGGACAGCGGAGUUGUAGUCCACGCCUCCUUGUCAACUGUGAGCAUGUGCCGAGUGGAGGAGGGCUGCUCCACGCGGUACAGCAACUCACAUAUGGGCAGUUUGCAGAUGCUGUGCGGGGUGAAGCUGUCUCUGCAGCUAGCGGAGGAAUGGCCGAAGGUGGCGAAUUCUGUGACCACUUCCAACUCAACUUCGGUCCCCGCCCUCGGACCCGUCAAAGGCGCUGAGGUGGAUACGGCUGUCGAAGGUGAUGCUGACAAGCAUCUUUGGAGCAGCGGCGGCGGUGCAUCGGUGGACCUGAAGAACCCUGCGUACCGCGACACGCUUGUCCGCGCCUUCGGAUUCAAGGCGUACCGCGAUGUCAUCGUGCGCGCUCAGAUGGAGGCACAACAGCACCAGGCGGCGAUGACGACGUCUUCGAAAGGAAAGGGCAAAGGCGGCACCCGCCAGCGAGCGCCAUCGCUCCUCGACGACCUACACCGGAAGUACCCCCGCGGAGUUCGGCGAGCGCCCGGCCAACUGGAAAAACUGCUUGCCCGGGUGGUGCAGGGUGGUCCAACCACGCCUGCUUCUGCUGCCUUUUUGGAAGGCGGCGAGCCAUGCGUUCUAGCAGGGGAGGCCCUCGCUAUCCCCUACGUACACGCUUUGUUUGAUUAUCUGGUCAAGCGCUGCGGUGACGAUGUCUGGGCAGUUGUGGAGCGCGAGCGGCGGGCGCGGAAGCGAUCUCUGACCGCGUCGCGGCCGCAGCAUCGGUCAUCGCCCAGCCACCAUGACCAUCGAGAUACCAUGCGCAAAGCCGAGUCGGGGGCAGCGCACUCAGGCGCAAACGGCGGCUCUGAUGAAGCUGCCACGGGCACGCGGCGGCACAACUCCAGCACAAGCCGCAGCACCAGCAGCGGCAAGGACCUCAGUGACGAAGAGGAGGAAGGGAAAGAGGAGAGCUCCUUCUCGAGCUCGUCAUCGUACUCGUCUUCCGGGACGUCGCUGCCCGAUAGAAGCGACGAGGAUACGUGGCUGAGACUGCAGCCGACACCGCUGCCAGCGGCGCCGUGGUGGCUGCCGCUACUUGGCGGAUCGAUCGUCAGCCGCCUCACAGACAAGGAUUUGCAGCGCGCCGUGAUCACCGCGGAGGAGGCGAGGGAGACGAAUGGUACGAUGGUACACUGGAGGAUGCUCCUCUGAGUGUCUACGUGGAUACGCAAUCCCGACUUCAUGCUGUAUAUGUGCGCACGCUAUCAGUGAACAACGAACUGCAAAACUGCUCGCAGCUCUGUUCCGUUUGUUGUCCCCGUGCACGCAAGAGUAUGCUGUCGCUGGCAAGAGUUGUCGCGAGUUGCAACUCUAGUUUGGCUGUAGGAGGCCAACGCAUGAAAGCUUGGCCUUUUCCAUGCCGGCAGUUUUGAGCCUCUUUCUGUCUGCAGUCGCGAAAAGACACGCACACACAC